UAGAGCUGCUUCCUUGACAAAGGAGCUGUUU
rnacentral:piRNA from 1 species